rnacentral:rRNA from 1 species
AGCGAACGCUGGCGGCAGGCCUAACACAUGCAAGUCGAACGAACCUUUCGGGGUUAGUGGCGGACGGGUGAGUAACACGUGGGAACGUGCCUUUAGGUUCGGAAUAACUCAGGGAAACUUGUGCUAAUACCGAAUGUGCCCUUCGGGGGAAAGAUUAAUCGCCUUUAGAGCGGCCCGCGUCUGAUUAGCUAGUUGGUUGAGGUAAUGGCUCACCAAGGCGACGAUCAGUAGCUGGUCUGAGAGGAUGAUCAGCCACAUUGGGACUGAGACACGGCCCAAACUCCUACGGGGGGCAGCAGGGGGGAAUCUUGGGCAAUGGGCGAAAGCCUGACGCAGCCAUGCCGCGUGAAUGAUGAAGGUCUUAGGAUUGUAAAAUUCUUUCACCGGGGACGAUAAGGACGGUACCCGGGGAAGAAGCCCCGGCUAACUUC